rnacentral:tRNA from 1 species
GCUGAAAUAGCUCAGUUGGCAGAGCGUCAGAUUAUAAAUCGAAGGGUCACUGGUUCUAUCCCUGGUUUCGACA